rnacentral:rRNA from 1 species
CCUACGGGUGGCAGCAGUGAGGAAUAGUGGUCAAUGGGCUUACGCCUGAACCAGCCAAGUCGCGUGAGGGAAGACUGCCCUAUGGGUUGUAAACCUCUUUUGUCAGGGAGCAACGCCGGCUACGUGUAGCCGGACGGAGAGGACCUGAAGAAAAAGCAGCGGCUAACUCCGUGCCAGCAGCCGCGGUAAUACGGAGGAUGCGAGCGUUAUCCGGAUUUAUUGGGUUUAAAGGGUGCGUAGGCGGAAUGCCAAGUCAGCGGUAAAAUCGCGGGGCUCACCCUCGCUCCGCCGUUGAAACUGGCGUUCUUGCGUGUGCGUGCAGUAUGCGGCAUGCGUGUUGUCGCG